rnacentral:piRNA from 1 species
UCCUUCUAGUUUAGGAAUCUGAUACUUUC